GACGGAGGGUGCUAGCGUUGUUCGGAAUGACUGGGCGUAAAGGGCGCGUAGGCGGCUCGUUAAGUCGGGUGUGAAAGCCCGGGGCUCAACCCCGGAACGGCAUCCGAUACUGGCGGGCUUGAGACCGGGAGAGGAGGGUGGAAUACCCAGUGUAGAGGUGAAAUUCGUAGAUAUUGGGUGGAACACCGGUGGCGAAAGCGGCUCUCUGGCCCGGAUCUGACGCUGAGGCGCGAAAGCGUGGGGAGCAAACAGG
rnacentral:rRNA from 1 species